UACGUAGGGACCGAGCGUUGUUCGGAUUUACUGGGCGUAAAGGGCGCGUAGGCGGCAAUUCAAGUCAUCUGUGAAAUCUCCGGGCUUAACUCGGAACGGUCAGAUGAUACUGCUUUGCUAGAGUGCGGAAGGGGCAAUCGGAAUUCUUGGUGUAGCGGUGAAAUGCGUAGAUAUCAAGAGGAACACCUGAGGUGAAGACGGGUUGCUGGGCCGACACUGACGCUGAUAGCGCGAAAGCCAGGGGAGCAAACGGG
rnacentral:rRNA from 1 species